rnacentral:rRNA from 1 species
CGCGGCCUAUCAGCUUGUUGGUGGGGUAGUGGCCUACCAAGGCGACGACGGGUAGCCGGCCUGAGAGGGCGACCGGCCACACUGGGACUGAGACACGGCCCAGACUCCUACGAGAGGCAGCAGUGGGGAAUAUUGCACAAUGGGCGGAAGCCUGAUGCAGCGACGCCGCGUGGGGGAUGACGGCCUUCGGGUUGUAAACCUCUUUCAGCACCGACGAAUCUGACGGUAGGUGCAGAAGAAGCGCCGGCUAACUACGUGCCAGCAGCCGCGGUAAUACGUAGGGCGCAAGCGUUGUCCGGAAUUAUUGGGCGUAAAGAGCUCGUAGGCGGUUUGUCGCGUCUGUCGUGAAAGCCCGGGGCUUAACUCCGGGUCUGCGGUGGAUACGGGCAGACUAGAGGCUGGUAGGGGAGAACGGAAUUCCCGGUGUAGCGGUGAAAUGCGCAGAUAUCGGGAGGAACACCGGUGGCGAAGGCGGUUCUCUGGGCCUGUACUGACGCUGAGGAGCGAAAGCGUGGGGAGCGAACAGGAUUAGAUACCCUGGUAGUCCACGCCGUAAACGUUGGGCGCUAGGUGUGGGGUCUUUCCACGGACUCCGUGCCGUAGCUAACGCAUUAAGCGCCCCGCCUGGGGAGUACGG